rnacentral:rRNA from 1 species
UACAGAGGUCUCAAGCGUUGUUCGGAUUCAUUGGGCGUAAAGGGUGCGUAGGUGGCGCGGUAAGUCGGGUGUGAAAUUUCGGAGCUUAACUCCGAAACUGCAUUCGAUACUGCCGUGCUUGAGGACUGGAGAGGAGACUGGAAUUUACGGUGUAGCAGUGAAAUGCGUAGAGAUCGUAAGGAAGACCAGUGGCGAAGGCGGGUCUCUGGACAGUUCCUGACGCUGAGGCACGAAGGCCAGGAGCAACGG